GAAAUAGAGGUCAAAAUACAAAAAGAAAAAAUUUAACCACGUGGAACAACCUAGUCAGCAGCCCCGACAAACAGGAGUACGCCGCAUGUCAAAACAUGUUGACGUCGGUGCCACGCGAGAGAGGUCACGCAAGCGAACUGUGUGCCCAGCGAUCCGACGGCCCAAGUUCGACCCUGCGAGUGUGAACAACUCAGAUUCGUCUCCUCCUUAGGUGCGAUUGAACGAACGAGAUCAAUCGCGAUGAACGAUCUAGAUUUGCCCACGCAAUCGGCCUAAAUAAGCAAAGAUCGAACGACCCUCCUCGCUCUACGUCGACGUGAAUGGACGGUCUAUAUCGAAACAUGAUGGGUAUAAAUAACUCGCAUCGCAGGAGAACCCAAACCCUAGCCGCCAGCCCUCACCUGAGAAGAAGAACCAGGCGUCGGAGAAGAAUGCUGACUGCCGAUCGCUUCCUCACCGGAGUCACUACUGACCGCUAAAAAAGAUAAAAUUUUCCCCUACUCGUACGAAAUUCAAUUAUGAGCCUCCUAGUGGCCAUAUCGAAGCAAGAGGGAUAGCAGGUGAGUCAAAAAUCGCGGGUAAAAUCUAGUGGAGCCGCCGCAGCCAAAAUCCAAAAAUUCCCUCGAUGAGCCCCUUCCCGUUUCAUGUUUCACGUGAUUUUUUGAUCAUUGUGCUCACCAUCCUUUUCUAUACAGGUUAAAUAAAGAAUGAACCCCAGCCGCGAAAGAAGACCGGUGGAGUUGCCGCACCCAGAGACCCCCC
rnacentral:lncRNA from 1 species